rnacentral:snRNA from 14 species
GUACCUCCACUGGGAAGACACCCUGAUAAAGACAGUGGUUUUUCCCACCAUGAGUUUCAUUCCUCACACAGAGGUGUGCUGACCCCUGUGAUCUACCCAAAGAUGGGAAGCUCAGCUGUGUAAUUUGUGGUCACAGAGGAUACUCUGG